UACAGAGGGUGCGAGCGUUGUUCGGAAUUACUGGGCGUAAAGCGCGCGCAGGCGGCUCUUUAAGUCUCGUGGUCAAAUGCCGGGGCUCAACCCCGAGCGUGCCGGGGAUACUGGAGGGCUGGAGACAGGUAGAGGCAAGCGGAAUUCCGGGUGUAGCGGUGGAAUGCGUAGAGAUCCGGAAGAACACCAGUGGCGAAGGCGGCUCACUGGAUCGGUACUGACGCUGAGGUGCGAAAGCGUGGGGAGCAAACAGG
rnacentral:rRNA from 1 species